CCGGGACUCGCCGAAGUCUGGAAGGGGAGCUCGGACCUGCCUCGGCCGCGCGGGACAGGCUGGGCAGAGAUAAAAGAGCACAAGAUUAUUUCUGUUUAAUAUGUGGGCAGUGCUCAGAGAAUAUGGUGAUGGGGGGCGACAGAAGUACCUGGAUGAAUGGCUGGAUAGACAAUUGUGUUCCAGUGGGUGAACGGACUCUGAGUUGAUGAAAAUUGGCACUGAAGUCAAGACAGCUAUGAAAAUUUACUCCACCUGAGGACUGCUGGAAGGAAUGGCUGGGGGCUAUCCAUGUUCUACCAUUGAUUCACUGCAUGAUCUGAAAUUGCCGGGGAGUUUAUAAAAAAAGAGAAGUAGCAGAAACAUUCUUUGGGACAAGAAUUUGAAUUGUUUAUUUUCCAGUACAAAGGCUUGGGAUUUUUUGUGAGGCCAGAGAGCAUGAGCUUUUUGAUGAAGAGAUUGGCCAUGCAUUUUGGUACUAGGGUAUCUUCUCUCAGGGACCACUCAGAUGGAGAGAACAAGUAUGAGCAUGUCCAUGGAGAUUACAUUGUUUUAUUCAUGUAAACAAGACAAACAUAUUAGUCAUGAUAAUAAAGGAGGGGAUGAUGGCAUAGAGCAAUGUUUUUCUCUCCUGCAAGAACAGGAGAGAAGAAUUUUGGCAGUAGUUGGGUAUUAAAGCACAUAUAAUCAAUCCAUUCUCCUGGGCAGUCUCAGCAUUAUGAAACAUCAUCAUUAGUCUUCUUGGGUCGAACAAAUGUAUGUUACAAAACAAGGCCCACAGUCCUGCAACUUUUACAUACUGCUGCCCUUAAGUGGAAGUGAAGGCACAGAAUGAACAAGUUGUGUGGAAAAAGUUGCAGGAUUGGUGACUAAGAGGAUAACCAAGCAUGUUUUAUAGAAGGAGCUAAAAUAAAAAUGUAUCUAUCUAGAAUUAAAUAGUGUGUGAUGUAGUUAUCUUUAAACUUUGGACUGUGCAUGUGUACUACAGAAUAGGCUGCCACAUUGUAGGACUUGUGCUCAUUUGGAAGAAUAUUUAUAUGCAGGAUAUUCCAAGGACUUGCACAUACUCAGCUUCUAUUGGUUCAUGGUUGAUUGGGAGUAAUUAUGUGGUCUUAAGAAGUAUCAGUGGUCAGCCAUAAAGUUCAAUUAUGUUGACAUGGGAGAUCAAUAACAGGAGUCUGAAGCAAUUGUAAGACCCAGGAUUCAAAAGUUGGUUGGCUAAAAAUGACCAUUUGAUUAAUCAGUCCUAGACUUCAACUAUAAUAUGACCUCAAAGAUCAAUAACUGGUGCAAUUCUUCACAUCAAAGCACUAUUUAAUCAAUUGGUUAUGCCACUAACCUAAGCUAUGUUACUCUCUUCAUCUCUAGAGCACAUAUAAUGCAAUAUGCCUCAGUAUGAAAGUGCUCAAAUUGGUAGAUUAAGAUCCACUACCUACUGUAUGGCAUACUUUACUUUCUACCAGUAUCAGAAGAAUAUUGUUAAAUCUGUCAUUAUUAAUUUCUGUAAUAGACUGCAGCUACCAGCACACACUGAGUUCUGUUUUAGUUCAACACAAGACAGAGUCCCUCAAAGUAAAUAUUAAUCAGGAUCAAUAAAUCUUGUCACUGAUCUCAACAGAAGCCAAUAUCUGAUAUGACACUCUGGCCUCCCUAUUACCUUUGCCCCCCUCCCAAGUGGAUUUUUCCUUUCUCCUUUCCCAUAUUAGAUGUAGUCAUCCACCUCUGACACCAGACAGGCUGAUUUUCUUCCUAUGCAUCCCAUCUGGACAUAGUGACUCUUUACUCUGUUCCUGGGACCCUGCCAGGACUGUCUUCCUCUCUCUCACUAGCCAGCAUCAUACCACUUUUUAUAACUCACUCUUUGGAGUAAGUGUUGUGAUACACCCCCUGCUUCCUCCCCUCUGCCCCACAGGCUCACACAGCCCACACUUCCCUCUAUCUCCCUGAAGGCCGCAUGUUCUGUAUGAUUCAGUCAUGUGACUGAAUCACUGACAUAUGAGUGUCAUCCAGUUACCCUAACCUGUUAUCCACUCUGCGCUAUCCUGAAACAUGGAUGUUACCUGGGAGUGUCAGAAAUUGGAAGGUAUCUGGCGUGCAUGGGACCUUUCCUCUUUCUGGCUCCUCCUGAUUUUCUUUGCAGCAGUAAGCAGCUAACGGGCAGCAAGUAACCAUGAGGUUCUGCUCAUGUUAUUUUUCUCUUGGGGUAUAGUAUGAUCUGGCAUAGGUGAUAUUAGACACAGUUGUGGAUGGGGAUGGUUUCUGGCCCCAUUUCACUGUGGUGUUGUAAAAGCAAACCUACAGCCAGAAACAGUCAGCACUGAAGCACACCUUUACUGCACCCCUGCUUUCUAGUUUGAUUGACCAAAGGUUGGACCUCCUUUGAAUGGGCCCAGAUCUCAAGGAUGUAUUGUUCAUUAUCCACUAGGGACUUCUGCCAUUGCAUAGCCGUUAUUGUCUCCCAAGACUGCGGGGAUUUGCUGUAACAUCAAAAAAGUAGAACAACAAACUGAAAGCCAAUAUUUAAAAAGCCAGAUGUUCAGGGCCUCAUGUAAUCGUUGUGCUGAAUUUGGGAGUGUAGUUAGUGACCUACUGCAUAGAAGGCUGAGUAUGUCUAACAAUUUGACUA